AGCCUUGUCUAUGGAUUUACAAUAUUUGAACCAUUCAUUUCAUUAUAUUCAAGUGUGCAAACUGUACAAUUUUUUCCAAAAAUUAAUUAAAAGGAAAAAGUUAAGUACCGUUUACGAUGAUUUACUUGAGUUUAUGCCAAAUCGUAUUUAAUAAUAGUUGAAGAGUUGAUAUCACUGCCAAAAUUAGCAACAUAGGGGUUUUUUUUGGGAAAUGAGAGAGAAAUGAAAAGGAAAAGUGAAAAAGCAAGGGAACUUGAUUUGACAAAAAUACCCUGAACUUAACGGAAUUUUUUAACGGAAUGACCAAAUUGAUGGAUGGUGGACAAUCUCAGGAACCACUUUUAUCGAUUUGAAAUCUUAGGGACCAAAGUGAGGAGUUAUGCAAAUCUCAGGGACCAUUUUGGCUAAAAAGCCUAGUUUUUACUUUAGUUGGAAACCAUUUUUUUCAAAAUUUUAUAAUAUUAUAAUUUUGGAGGUUUAUUUGUUCAUCUCAUUCUGCAUUUCAUUGGAAAUUCAAUGAUUGAUAUUCAUCCUAUGAUUUUGAAGGUUUAAAUAAUGUCCACAUGGGAUGAUAUUUUCUUACAGAUUCCUUGAUUUGUUGUCAAGUAUUGUCUCCCAUUCCUUCCAAAACACACGCGCACACGCACGUAUUUAGAGAGAGGGAGAGAGAAGCCAGAAGAAGAAGCCAGAGAAUCAUUUGAAACAUUUCGAAUGAAAGGUGGAGAUGGCCCAAACAAUAAUGCCAAGAACUCAACGUUCCAGGUUCUCGUACAGAAUCCAUUCUUCGAAAUAUCGACAAUAGUCAUCUUAUAGAGAUUAGAUUACAUGCACCUAGUUCGACUCGUUUUUUUUUUUUUUAAUCCUUGAUCUGAAAGAUAUAUUCUAAAAUCAUAACAAUAAGACAUUAGCAUCACAAAUAUAAUGCGAAUUAAUAUAAAAUAGAAUUGAACUACUUAUAUUAAACUUAUAUGCAGACUACGAAAGACAUAACUCCUGCGAAUGACAAAAAAAAUUGGUGUAUGCAUA
rnacentral:lncRNA from 1 species